rnacentral:tRNA from 1 species
CAGGGUGUAGCUCAGUGGUAGAGCACUGGCUUAGCAUGCACGAAGUCCUGGGUUCAAUCCCCAGUUCCCUCG